rnacentral:rRNA from 1 species
UACAGCCUGUUGUGGGACUAUGGACAAGAACUGAGGAGAAGUAAUCCAGGGAGCAAAUUCAUUGUUUGCACAACCAAAGUGAAGGAAAUAGGUGACCUGCUUCCAAAAGAUCACCUAUCUUCACUAUAUUGGUCCUAUGAUGCCUGCAAGAGAGGUUUCCUGAGGGGGUGCAGGCCAAUUCUAUUUGUUGAUGGCUGUCACCUGAAGAGCAAAUACAAGGGUGUGUUGCUUACAGCUGUUGGGAUUGAUCCCAAUGAUUGCAUAUUUCCAAUUGCAAUGGGGAUGGUGGAGGUGGAGUCAACUUACUCUUGGGAAUGGUUUCUCACCACUUUGAAGAAUGAUUUGAACAUCAUUAACACCUCCCCUUUCACUAUAAUGAGUGACAAGCAAAAGGGUUUGAUCAAUGCUGUUGAGAAGAUAUGGCCAGAUGCAGAACACAGAUUCUGUGUUAGACAUCUUUAUCAAAACUUCCACCAGAAGUUCAAAGGAGAAACACUGAAGAAUAUGUUGUGGGCCAUUGCUAGGUCAACUAAUGCGGACAAGUGGACCUUGAACAGAGAGAAGCUUAGGGCACAGAACUUGGAGGCAUAUAAUUGGUUGGAUGGCAAGCCCCCCAACCAGUGGGUGAAAGCAUACUUCAGAGAUUUCCCCAAGUGUGACAUUUUGCUGAACAACAUGUCAGAGGUGUACAACAGCUACAUCUUGGAUGCAAGAGAAUUGUGUGUUAUAUCAAUGCUAGAAUGCAUAACACAUAAAAUUACUGUGAGGCAUGACAAAAAGUACAAAGAAGCUUCAGAAAAGUGGACUGGACUUAUCUGCCCCAAGAUUAGGAAGAAACUGGACAAAAAUGCAGAGUACUCGGGUAACUGCUUUCCAACACAUUCAGGACUUGGAAUUUAUGGUGUUGAAUCAGGCAACAACAAGUAUGUUGUGGAUAUUCCAGCAAGAACUUGUGAUUGUAAAAAAAUUCAAUUGGAUGGCAUCCCUUGCAAUCAUGUGAUUGCUUGUUGUAGAGCUGAUAGGAUUGACCCUGAAACAUUGGUUCACAAGUGCUAUAGCAUAGAAAAUUAUCUAAAGGCAUAUGGGCACAACAUCAUGCCUAUGAGGGACAGGAAAAGCUGGGAAAAGAUGAAUGGCAUUCCCAUCCACCCUCCAGUCUUCACAAAGAAAAUGGGCAGGCCAGCAAAGAACAGGAGAAAGACACCAGAAGAGAAGAAGAAGAAAGAUGGAACUGUUUACAUCAACAAAAAAGGAGUGGCCAUGCAUUGCUCAGUGUGUGGCAGU